UUGCAGAAAUUGAUGGUGUUGCAUUACCUAAUGAACUGUUACAAAAAUUUAAGCGCCAGGUUUACGACAUUAACAUAACAUGUUUAAUGGUCACCUUUUCUAUUUCUUGUCAUGAAGUACAGUUUAGGAACUACUAGUACUUCAUAUAGGUAUGCUCUGCUGAGGUAACAUAAGAAGAUAGAGCAAUGUAAAUAGAAUAAUUAGCGUACUGCAGAGGGUUGCAAGCUGGUUAUUCGAUGAAUUAUAUCCAUCUACUGAAAAUGUGAAUCAACUAAUAAUCCAUCUACUGAUAGUGUUAUAUUCAAUAUAUAAGCUUGUCAUAUUUAUUGUUUGACAAAAUGUUAAUUUAAUACUUCAAACAUAAUGGUUGCUAUUUCAAGUAGCUUCGACAAUAUCUAGCGAUUGCCGUUAUAACUUCCGCAGGAUUCAUGGCACCCUGCUGUGAGGGUGCAAUAGUUGCAAUUUACAUCUGGUUCAAAAUUGUGCUUCGUGUGGUCGAUUGGGUUGAUUUUUUUAGAGAAUUUUUUUAUAUAUAAUCUGAUCCCAAAAAGUAGAAAUGUACCCCAUUCUAUUUUUCUUUUGAAUUUAUGGUAGAUACUUUUUAGGAUUAUUGUUUGAUUUCUUUUUCCCUCAAAGGGAAGGAGGCACCUUGAAUCUCGUGGGCCAUUUGUAUUUAUAACAAAAUUAUUAGCCUUGAGCUCAUACCAAUUGACAUUAUUUACCACUAAACAUGAAUUGUUAAGCAAAUGUUAACUCUCUAAAGGUAAUCUCUGAACACACCUUGAAAGGAACAUCAAACUUCCAUGGAAAGUUCCUAAUAUAUGUAUUCGCAAGUCAUGCAUAAGAAAAAGGUUAUUUAGAAUUUUAAAUUUUAUUAUGUAAUGUUUUAUAUUUCCAUUCAUUCAAGACGUCCUUCGAUAAAUUGAGGAUUAUAUACGGCAAAUAUUAAGAUUUCAGGGUAUUUGCAAUGUUGAGGUUUCAGAAACUCACGUUGCGCCAGACAUUACGGCAAACAAAACAGUGAUGAUCUUCCCUCCAGUGUAUCCUUUGUCAAUGAUUAGCUUUCCACCAUACCAGAACCCUAGACCAUAGCUGCUAAAUAUGAUGCAGAAGACAGGAGCCCAUGCCAAAACCAUUGACAAGGCCUUCCUCAACAGCAGUCUUGUAGGCUUUCUUUAUGAAUUUAUUAUACAUUUCUAUAGCUUUCUUCUCUCCAUUGAAGGAUAUAACCUGAUUACACGAGGGUUGCUAAAUUAAUGUUUGCUAUCAUUUGUAUUAGUUGAGAUAAUUGAUAUAAUUUCGAAUGACUAAUAUAAUUUGAACUCACUGUUCGUAUAGAUCCAAUUGUCUGUUCAACUGUGUCUGCAGCAUCACUAUACGAUGUUAGUCGCUUGCUAGAAACCCGGGUUAGCAGCUGUGUAGACACUGCACCAGCGAGAGCAACUAAUGGUAGUGACGUUAGCAUGACAAGAGUCAGGAGCCAGCCUUUUGUGAAUGCUAUGAUAAAACCCCCAAAGAAGGCAGAUAUGGCUUGUACAAGCUUCCCUCCCUGUAAAUCAGAAUGCAGGAAUGUCAGCACUUGUAGCACUGGAUGGGCUGCAUAGAAUGUAUGAAGUAUGAAAUACACUUAGGUGAGUAACACAAAAGCUUAUGCAGUAGCAAUAGAAAUAUUGAUGCUUGUCAUUGACUUGCACCUGCAGAUCUGCGCACACUUGCAGUGUGAUGAAAAAUACUAUGUUUCCUUAUUUAGUACUCCCUCCGUCCCAAAAUUAUUGUCUUAGAUUUAUCUAGAUACGGAUGUACCUAAUACUAAAAUGUGACUUGAUACAUCCGUAUUUAGACAAAUCUAAGACAAGAAUUUUAGGACGGGGGGAGUACUACAGAGGAAGUAUUACCUUCUCACCAAGAGCAUCUUGAAUUAUGACCGUAUCGCUAGACAUUCUAGAAACUGCUUCACCAGUUGUCAUUUCUGUGUCGAAGAAUGCAAUAUCUUGCCUCAGAACUGAUUUCAGGUACAAAGAACGGAUGCGGGCUGACUGCCUUUCUCCUGACGUUGUCCAGCAUGACAUCUCUGGAAGAUAAUGAAGGGUAUAGUUGUUAGCGAUGAUGCAGAGACCGAGGGUUAAACUUCCUCUUCGAAAAGGAAAAAGAAAAACAAUCCUCUGUGGUUAAGUCUAAUUGAGAGUGGAAACAUGUAUUCCAAGAAUAGAAUGGGAGCUGCACUUACGAAGAAAGGAAGCAACUGCUAUCCCAAUGCCCAGAUAUACGAAGUUGAGAACAACCUGGAGAUCAAAAGAACAUUCUCGGUUAACUCGUCUAGCCAAUCUUCAGGUUAAGCGAUCUGAUCACCGUAAGCUGGGGCGCACCUUGGUGACAGCGGGGAGGACGGUGCUGGUGGUGCUCUCGCCGAAGGAGUUGAUGGCGUCUCCAAAGACGACCAGCAUGAGGGACCCCGCCACGCCGUUGCCCACCGCCCCCAGCGAGCCGACCACCAUGAGCAGCACGUCGAGACUGUCGGCGUACCUGAACAUGCCGAGCAACGACACCUUCUUCUCCGUCUGGUCAUCUUUUUCUUGCUCGCCGCCGUGGCGUGCUCCUUCUCCACUACGAGCUUCUGCUGUCGCGUUCAUUUCCUGGCAGCUACUGGUUGCGUUGCUGGUGUGCUCGACGAACCCAGCCUGCACUGUGCCGUGUGGUUCCCUGUCCCCGGGGCUGGAGGAGCACUGUAUAUACGCAUUUCGCCGGUCGCCCAGAGCCCAAGACGGGGUGUUUUGACUGUUCUUGGGCUGAUUGGGUGCUCCGAAGCAGAGGAAGGGACCGGGAAAGUUUGCAAUGGAAAAGUACUUUUUUGCCCACGGAUUUAUCAACUUUUUUUUGUGUGGAUUUGCACGAGAUUUAUCGUUGGCAUGUGGUGAUUUGCUGCCGCAAUUCAAGAUUCACAGCCUACUUUUGUUCGCUGCGCCAGCGACUCAGCGUAGUCACUAGUUGGUCAAAUGGACUGACCAGUAUUGUAACCUGAGGUGAGCUAAGAUGGUCUCCGGUGCGGUGGUCAGUGGUCACCGCCACUUGUUUAUUUUUUUAAGUUGACCAAAUGCUUGUUUCUAGAAAGGAAAAAAAGGUGUGGACAUAUCGUAAGCUGGUACGGCCACGGAAUGUGGAUAUAAACAUGGAAUCCUCUAUUCCUAAACCUACUAUCUAUUUUUUUUCUAUCCAUGUAGCAAUGUCACAUCAACAAAUCAUGCAUGUUAGCCAUAA